rnacentral:rRNA from 1 species
ACUCAAAUGAAUUGACGGGGGCCCGCACAAGCGGUGGAGUAUGUGGUUUAAUUCGAUGCAACGCGAAGAACCUUACCUGGUCUUGACAUCCCAGAAAUCCCUUGGAAACUUGGGAGUGCUUCCAUUAGGAAGAAUCUGGAGACAGGUGCUGCAUGGCUGUCGUCAGCUCGUGUCGUGAGAUGUUGGGUUAAGUCCCGCAACGAGCGCAACCCUUGCCUUUAGUUGCCAGCAGUUCGGCUGGGCACUCUAAAGGGACUGCCGGUGUUAAACCGGAGGAAGGUGGGGAUGACGUCAAGUCCUCAUGGCCUUUAUGACCAGGGCUACACACGUACUACAAUGGCCGAUACAAAGGGCAGCGACAUUGCGAAAUGAAGCCAAUCCCAUAAAUUCGGUCUCAGUCCGGAUUGGAGUCUGCAACUCGACUCCAUGAAGUUGGAAUCGCUAGUAAUCGUGGAUCAGCAUGCCACGGUGAAUACGUUCCCGGGCCUUGUACACACCGCCCGU